CUUUCUCUCUCCAACCAGAAGCGCCUUUUCAAUAGUAAAAAAUCUCCUCCUUCCUUCAACCUCUUUUUUCUUCCCUGUUCUAGCUCUACAUCCAUCUCCCCGAACAUGGGCACUACCCUGUUAGAAGCUCUCAACGUCCGUGUAGUCGGCUCUGGAGAGAAAUUUCUCGUUCUUGCCCAUGGAUUUGGAACGGACCAAUCAACAUGGCAGCGCAUUCUCCCCUUCUUUACUCAAAACUACAGCGUAAUUCUUUACGACCUCGUUUGCGCCGGCAGUGUCAAUCCUGACUACUUUGAUUUUAGAA
rnacentral:misc_RNA from 1 species